GAUGAACGCUGACAGAAUGCUUAACGCAUGCAAGUCUUUGGCGAAGCUGUGCUUGCACAGCCUAGCCAAGGCGGACGGGUGAGUAACGCGUAAGGAACUUGCCCUGCAGUCAGGGAUAACAGACGGAAACGACUGAUAAGACCUGGUAAAGUCAGACGGACUCAUGUCCAGCCUGAUGAAAAGAGAUGCUGCAGGAGAGCCUUGCGUCCUAUUAGCUUGUUGGUGGGGUAACGGCCCACCAAGGCGAUGAUAGGUAGCCGGCCUGAGAGGGUGGACGGCCACAAGGGGACUGAGAUACGGCCCUUACUCCUACGGGAGGCAGCAGUGGGGAAUAUUGGACAAUGGGGGCAACCCUGAUCCAGCAAUUCUGUGUGCACGAUGAAGGUUUUCGGAGUGUAAAGUGCUUUCAGCAGGGAAGAAAAAAAUGACGGUACCUGCAGAAGAAGCGACGGCUAAAUACGUG
rnacentral:rRNA from 1 species